GCAAGUCGAACGGUAUUUUUGUGAUAGACGCUUCGGUUGAAAUCACAAAGAGAGAGUGGCAAACGGGUGCGUAACACGUGAGCAACCUGCCCUGAAGACCGGAAUAGCUCGGGGAAACUCGAAUUAAUGCCGGAUGUGGCACGAAGAGGCAUCUCUUCAGUGCUAAAGCUCGUAAAGGCGCUUCAGGAGGGGCUCGCGGCCUAUCAGCUUGUUGGUGGGGUAGAAGCCUACCAAGGCAAAGACGGGUAGCUGGUCUGAGAGGAUGAUC
rnacentral:rRNA from 1 species